UUUAUUUUCCUAAUCCAACAACCAGGGUAUAGUCUCCAAGUUUUGUUAAAAAUGUCCGAAUUAGAAGGUCUCAACUGAACCUUCCUCGUAUCUCAUCUCUCUAUCUCCGGCCACUGGAAACCGCCGCCGAAAAUCGCCCGACGACGGUGGCAAGUCUUCAAUCUUGACAAAAAUUACACUAUAUACUCACAAUGACCCCCUCUCCUCAAGUUUCGAACCAAUGUUCAUCAAACCCAGUUGAAACACCUCAAAUCUUAGAUCUAAACCUCCAUCCCCAAAGUCCUCCAGACUUGAACUCAUCAUGCAAAGGCUUGGGUUCUUGCCAUCCUAUUUUUUGAAGACAAUUUGGGCCUGAGACGAGUGUCAGGCGACUGUUCCCACAAGAUCAGUCGGUUAACACCCCUUUUGGUUUAAAUCAGAGGAGCUGGGGUUCGAGUAGCCUGAGUUGUUCUUUACUUAGGUGUUUCUCUUCGUAUUCUUUAUUCUCCCUAUUUUCGCUUCUGUUUCCACUCUUUCCUCAUUUCUUUUGUUGAUAUUCACUACUGCCUCCUCCGUUCUUGUCUUUUCUUUAUCUAUUUCUCUCUUACUGUUCUGAAAGUAUGUUUAAGAUCGAGUCAUGUUAGUACAACGGUGAGUAUCGAUUUAGGUUUAUCAUUCUUAAUUUUAGUAUCCAGAUUUCUUUGAACUUCGUGUGCUUGGUUUGAGUUUCUUGAUUAAUCUGAGUUUCACUAUACUGUAAUGGGUAUUAAAUUAAUUCAAUAUUUUUUUGUUGGGUUGAUUCAUCAGGCUCUGCUUUCAUUAUUGGGUAAAGAUUUUGGGUUAUGAUUCUGGGAGGUUCUUAAUGGGGUAAGAUGCUGGGCCUUUGAGUUGCUUAGCCCAUCCCAGCAACAACUUUAGAGCUGUAUUUGUUUGGUUUGGGCUGGCCCAUAUAAGUUUUGGUUUUCUGGAGGUAAUAACAGGGUUGUGGGGGUAAAACUGACCCAUACCCAUCUAGUUACUGAAGAUUAAAAUGAAGAAUAAAAACAGAGGAACUUGUGGGGUAAUUUAGGAAGUUUAAGAUAAUAGAAUCUUAGUGUAACUGAUCUGGAAAUUUCAAGUGAGGGGUCUUUGGGAAAUUUCAGACUUAUAGUAUUAGCUUGGGCAUCAAGUCAAAAAUUGAGGGACUGUAUGCAAACUUAAAAAUCUGAGAUGCCAUACUUUAUGAGAUAUAAAAAGAUGAUUCCUUGCCUUUGAAGGCAAAUUUUGAAAAAGAAAAAAAGGCCCUAAAGAUAUAAAAAUCCUGGAAAAUACCAAUUGCAAAAAAUGUCUAAAAAAAACUGUUCCAUUUCAUUUCAUAUGUGACUUUUUCUUCGAUUUCUUAAGCAAAUUCGAACACAUUUGGGGUUAGAAAUGGAUUAAGUUUUGUUGAAGUCUACUGGGCUCUUGUUCAAUUGAAGCUGUUUUUCUUUUGGAUUACUGCACAUAAAUUUUUGGGUCGGAAGCUGAUUUUAGUGGUUGUUUCUGCUACUGCCUCAUACUAUUGUCACUGUUGACACUUCCCCUUCUGUUUCUUUCCAUUUCCAAGUACCCUUUCUGAAACUAUGGUUAGAACUUGAGCUUGGUUGUUGAGUGUUAUCUAAAGGUUUAUGAAUUAAAUUGUUUGAAUGGAACACAUUAUUUUGACAUUGUGAUGUUGCUGCAUUUACCAUAUUCUGGUCCUUGAUUCAGUCUAGUUUACUUGGAUUUCUCAUUCAUAGGCGUUUAGUAUUAGAUAUUGGAUUUGAAUUGGUUUUGAUGUUAUAGGAUUGAAGAUACUUUAGUUGAAACUUAAAGUAAUUAAGGACUUUAAUGUUGUAGAUUGAUUACUGGAAACUAGUUGGUUUUCAUGUGUUGGUUAUAGCAGUAAGUUAAGUAUAGGUUGACUUAGAAUAAUUGGUUUCAUGUAUUUAGUGUCACUUUGUUCUCCUAAUAAAUGUGCUCAGGUUUGCGUCUACAUAGUGUGAAACAUUGUCUACUGUUCUCAUGGUCUAUCGCUGGUUCUCCCUUCAUGCCUGUUCGGAGUUUUUUUUUUCCAGAUUUAUGAAAUGGGGUUUAAAGUGGGUUGAAUCUGAAUUUAGACUUGGUUAGUCCUAGGCUUAAACUUGGUUUUAGUUCAUUUUCUGUAAGACUUGCGAAUAAAUUAUAAUCUUGGCCGGUUUGUUUUGAAAUUAAGCUAUAGGGUGUAUUGAUUAUAUAAUUCUGUGAAAAGUAGGAGUUUUCACUUGACUUCGUGUCAUAGCAUGGUCCUCUUUUGUUUUGGUCAGAUUAAUACCAAUAGUUCUAUUUCUGGCGUGAUUGUGAUUUCAAAUUGGUGUUUCCUUUUGUUGACCGAAUUGAGUUAAGCCAACUGUUGCAUGGAAACAUACUGCUUUUGCAGUAAUUGACCUCAAUAGAAGCACUGUUCUUCAGAGCUCAUGAUUGUCCUAAAAUUCGUUUGCUGCCAUGUUCGUUUUGUUCAAGUGGAUUGUAAAUGAAUUUGUGUUUGUUUGUUUGAUCUGUGUUUUUUUAAGAAUUCAUUUUGAAUGAAUAUCCUUUGAGGCCCUUAGAUUUGGUUCAUUAAUUUUCAAGAAUUAGAGUUAGAUGGACAUAGUAAUUUAAACAAGAUCAGUGAUGGGUUAAUUGAUUUCUUUUGCCUAAUUCAACAAGAUCUAUAGUAAUCUGAUCCUUGCAAAUAGAAGUAGCUAGCCAAUUCUUCUUGGGAACAGGUCGUUGGAAGGUCGAUUCCCCUUAAACUCUGCAAUUAAGAACGAAUGGGAUUGGGCCCCCUCGCAUUAAUAUCAUCAAUAUUCAUGGCUGAUUAAUAUUCGUAGCAAGCCUUUAGGGCCGUUUAAAUACGAUUGCGGUUGCGUAUACGUUCGCGUAACAUGACUAUUAUCCUAAAUCAACUCGGAGUACGCGUUUGUGAAACUUCGCUAAAUCUUUUUUUAAUAAUAAAAUUGGUUACAAGCUUUUGAUUAUUUUGAGCUCAUCAAAAUCACAUAUGGCCUUUUAGUAAUUUCAUAGGAUUGAUAAAAAUAAUAUUUCGUAGAAUAUCCUUUACGGCCGUUUAAAACUACCUAGUGUGGUUGCGUAUACGUUCGCGUAACAUAACUACAUUUCUAAAAAUGAAAUCGGAGUAUGUGUUCGUGCAACUUUGGCCAAAACGCUCUUAAUAAUAAUCAAGCAUUGUUAAUUGUUGACACGUUCGUGUGACAUGAUUUCUGACGCAUCAACCAACGGGUAUACGUAUGCGUAACCCGUUUCAAGAUAAUUUUCUAAUUAAGACAGGUAAAAAGGCAUAAGAACAUAGGUUCUAAAAUUAGUAAUUUAGCAAUUCAGUCAAGCCAAGUAGGAUCAAAGCGACCGUGCUAGAACUACGGGACUAGGGAGUGCCUAACCCUUUCUCCCGGAUUAACAGAAUUCCUUACCCGAAUUUCUGAUUCGCAUAUUAUAAUAACAGAGUCAUUUUUUCCUCAAUUCAAGAUUUUAAACAGGUGACUUGGGACACCAUAAAUUAUCCCAAGUGGCGAUUCUGAUUUUUAAUUAUUAAUCCUGUUUCGAUUGUCACUUAAAUUGGGAAAAACUGCCUUUAUUAUGCCACUCCGAGGGAGUAGUGAAAAAGGAGGUGUAACAACUCUGACGACUCUGCUGGUGAAGGCUAGUAUAACUCAGAACUCUUGUUCUGGGUUGUAGAAUUCGAGCUUGUUUUAUGAUUUUUACUUGGCUUAUUUAUUGUCGAUAUUUUUGUAUUCUGAAACCUUUGUGCUAAAUGCUAUCUGUUUAUCGCUUAAUUUUUGUUGAAUUGUAUAUAAUUGUCUCCUCACGCUACCCCACUGAGUAUUCUGAAAAUGGUGUUUACGUUCCCGUAGUCCGCUUUUUUUGUAGAAAUUAUACCAAAUAGAGCGAGGCUGGGCAGUGACAAGGGCGGGCAGACUUUUGUGCUCCUGGUAUGUCCCCCCUCCUCGGCCCCAGCUGUCCGCUCGGGUACCCCACGUCUAGAUCAUAACCCUAGGAUUUAAACUUAGAAAAACACAGCCUCAUGCCGGAUCCCUAGUAGGAGCGCUUGUUUGCAUCAUGUGCAUUGGAAUUAGGGGACUCAACACAGGGGUAGGGUCCGUCUAGGACAGGUGUACACAAAAAUAAAAGACCAUCCUGCCGCAUCCUAACGUGCUACAUGUUGCAUUUCUUCAAGGGUAAAAGGAUCAUUUGGCGGACCAAUGAAAGUUGAGGGACAACAAAAAUUGGAAAAAAAGAGAGAGAAAAAAACAAGAGGGCGAAGUGUGAAAAUAAAGCAAGUAGGAUCUAGUUAUGUUUUUGUUACAUUUUUUUGUUUUUUAUUUAGUCCAUCUAGGACAGGUGUACCCAAAAUAACAAACCAUCAUGAUGCAUCUAAUGUGCUAUAUGAACAUUCAUUUGUUUUGGCUUGCAUGCUGACCGGCUAAAAAAGAGAAAAGCAAGGAAAAAUCAGAGGAAAACAAGAAAAGGGAAAAAAUAGAGAGAGAAUAAGACCAAGAGUGAUGUGGGAAGGAGUAAACCCAGUUCCAAAGAAAACCCAAUGCUUGAAAAUACCUCAAAACUUUGCCGCUUCUUUUAGAAAAAUAGAAAAGACAAAAAAAAAGUAAAGAGAAGAAAAAGGAAAAGAGUUUUGUUCGCCAAAAAAAGUUUUGUUUUCAAAAGUAGUUUGUUCUAUUUGCCAAUGAAAAAAAAAAGAGUCUUGUGAUCAAAUUUAGUUUGUUUAUUUGCCUCUGAAUUAAAAAAAGAAGAAAGAAAAGGGUCUUGUUUCAAGAGUAGUUGUAUUUGGCCGAACUACGCAGGUCUGAUUCCCAUCGAAUAUGGGAUACGUAGGCAACCUACAUAAGGUCCGACCUUAUUUUGAAAAAAAAGAAAAAAAAGACAAAUAAGACAAUUCAGUGUCGGUAGUGUUUUAAAUCGUUCUUACCAAGAGGCCUUAGAAUAUCCUCCCGUUGUAGAAGGUCUAUCUUUGUAAAAAAAAUGGGCAAAAUUCAGAAGUGUCACAAAAUAAACCCUCUCUGACCUCAAAUUCAUAUGGAAUUGGGAAGGGGCUAUUUUUGCUAAAGAGCCAUUUGGCUAACAUGGGCAUAUCAAAGAGGGAAUCAUGGUCUUUUUGUUUCUAAACCAAAACUUGUUUUCUAAAAAAGGUCAUUAGAGUCAACCCUAACCCUACUUUCUACAGGAACGAAUGAAUAUCAUCCAGGACACAUCAGAAGUGUUUAGGGAGCAGGCUCGAGUACAUUUGCGCAUGUGGUGGAAUGAUUUGGAUCAAGAUGGUCAGGAAUGGGUAAGACAACAGUUGGGUGCUAUUAUAGACAUUUGGGAGAUCAAACCACGGGAUGAUUUGAUCAAGGCUAUGCUAACUUUCUAGGACCCCGCUUGUAAUGUUUUCGCCCUUAGACUUCGAGAUUACCCCUACUUUGGAGGAGAUAGCUGGGUACAUUGAGUUUGAAUAAGAUCUGUGGAAGCAACCGCUUAUAUUUCCAAGGACCCCAUCGGUGCAAAAGUUUUUUUGACCUCUUGAAUAUUAGCAAACAGACAAGCAAAAAACGCGUAAGCAAUGAGUGUUGUGAUUUCCAUUUCUUUUACUUCAGGUUUGGGCAUUCUUUUGGUUUUGAGACACAUGAAAGUGUUGAGCAACAAACAAGAUAAGGGUCUCUGGCAACUUCAUCACCGGAUCUCAUUUAUUGUGGCAACCUUGGGGGUAAUGGUUUUCCCAAAUGAGAAAGGGACGGUGGAUAUUUGUAUGGCUAGAAUUACAAAAACCCUCACCACCAUGAAAAAUCAUACACUUGCUCUGUUGGUACUGGCAGAUAUCUACCGUGCGUUGAAUUUAUGCAAACCUGGGGCUUAGUUAUUCGAAGGUUGCGAUAUUCUCCUGCAAAUGUGGAUGAUCGAGCAUCUUCGCCACCAUAACAGAUUUAUGAGUUAUGGUUCGAGCCCAAAUAAUUUCAUCAUCAGUUAUGAAAAGAGGUUAAAGGAUUACAACAUGCCAGAGGGGUUUGAAGUAUGGGUAUCCUAUUUGAAAACUCUUAGAGCAAGUCAAAUUGAGUGGUUUAUUGGAUGGCUCCCGAAGACCGAAGCCAUAUACAUGACUGCUGCUAAGGGCUACUUGAGGAUAAUGGGUAUGAAAAGUAUUCAACCGUAUGCACCACAGAGGGUCUUGAGACAACUGGGGCGGUAUCAAAUUGUGCCCGAAGAUGAAGAUCUAAGUACUCAAGUUAUAGAGUUGCAUCCGGAAGCCGCAUUGCCCGAAGCUUUAGUUCAACAGGAUUGGAAUGGCUGCUGGUAUCUUAAAAGUGGCACCCAAGUACCAGAUGCUGUGAAAGGAGAAGUGGAUCCACAGUAUGCUGCUUGGUUUGAGAAGAGGUCGUGUGUGAACACUGAGUCGGAACCCGAACCUGGAAACCCACCAAAAGACCUCAUGUUUAAGCAUUCGAAGACAAAAUCCAAGAAAGAUUAGGAUGGGGAGAAAAGGAAAAAGUGUAUCAAGGUGAGAUUCACACCUUGAAAGAAAAGCUGAAAAACAUGGAAUUCAAUAAUGAUCUCGAGGCUCAGGAAGCCGAAGGUGAGGAAAGAAAAUUGAUCCAAGAAAAUGAAGCUCUCAUGGCACAGAUCUGGAAAAUGAACAUAUCAAUUGACAACCCGGGCAGCAGUAGAAAGGAUGAGAUGCUCAUCUACAACCUUACCCAGAAGGCACGUGAUUUCGAGGAUGAUUUACAGAAGACUAAAAAGAAGUUAGCAAAUGCUCGGGCCAAGAUAGCCAAGGAUGCAGGGGAACGAGCAAGUUUUAUCUGUCAGUUGAAGGAGAAAUACGACAAGGGGAUGGCUAGUAUGAAGAAAAAGGUCAAGAUCGUUGAAAAUUAAAUGGCCAAGCAAGGAAGAGAUUUUGAAACCGAAAAGGAGGACUGUUAUUCUUUGAUAGCACCGCUAGAAAGGGAUUUGCAUCACCUUCAAUAACAAAGCCAUGCAACCAAACAAACUGUGGAAGCAAGAGCCCGGCAAAUUGGAGAUUUAUUACUGGAGAAGGGAAGGAUCCGUGAAAGGGUCACAACGAUUGCAUAGUACAUUGUGGUAAAAUGCCAAAUAUGUGAAGACAUGACCCUAACCACUUUCUUCGCGGCAGUCAUGACGUUUGUCUAGCAGGUAAUAAGAGAUUUGGAAAGGCUCCAGUUGGAUCUUGCAAAUGAGCCCGCAACAAAACCAAACAACACCCCAAGAGCUCUAGGAGUAUCCAAGGCUUGAUGUAUUUGUGAUCUUUGCUUGAGUUGGUACUUUUGCUUUGGGUAUGUUAAGUUGUUUUGGAGUCUGUUAGGUCUUUUGAAUUGAUCUUUUCUAAGCUUGUUAGUUUAUUUCGAAUAUGUGAGUCUUGAAGUCUUUGUAGUCAAGAUGAUUUUAUUUAAAAUUUCAAAAAAUAUUUUGUUGUUUAAUUAUUUUCAUAUCCCACAGAACUACGCUCGGUCUGAUUCAUGCAAGGUCAUGAUACGUAGGCAAUACACAUAGGAUUCGACUGUAACAAAAUAAAAGAAGAGAAAAGAGAGAAGAAACAAAGAGGGGGAGAAUAGGAGAGAAACGAGAAAAAGGGAAUAUCACAAUGUGAAGAAUGCAGUUAAAAAACAGAGAGGAUAAUAAAACAAAAGCAAAACAAGAUGAGCAAAGGAGAGGGGACAAAGGAAAAAAUAAGAGAGAAAAGAAAAGUGUCAUAGAAUAAAAGCCGGGAUGACGCAACCAGCCAAUUAGUGCAUAAUAGAAUCAUAACUGUGGCUAGGUGCAUUGCACAUAAAGUGAAAUUAUCCUGUAUUAAAUGCCCUAACAUUAACGUGAUGACUUCAGUUUGUUGUGUUCAUUCCAGAAGGGUGGUCGGUUUGUGGCUUUUGAAGUGGUAACUUUUCCCUACAGCACAACGUCAAAGGUAAUGGAAGACAAUAUCAAAACUGAGUUAGUUGGCACUGGUAUCCAAAAGCUGUUAGUUGAACGGGAUAAUGGGUUAGCUAAAGAGGUGUGGGUGUUAAGACAACAUAUGACGAGCAUGUAUCAUGUCUCGACGACCGGGAAGGCACUACCCUCGCCACCACCUGGCUUCCUAGAUGUCCCCUUUACCAAAACUAUGGCCCUUUCCAAUCACCCCAGUAGCUCCAUAAAUCAUCACAAUGAAUGCUCAUUCAAAGCUCAUGAUGUCCGAUAUUACCCCUCCAAGGUCGCCCACAAGGAGAACCCUCAGGAUAAGCUUCAAGCCAGAAAUGAAAAGGAUACAGGAAAAUAAAGGUGGGAUGAGAUCUCUGGAAAGCUAAAAAGCACAGAGUAUCAUCAAAGAACAUGCAAAGGGAUUUUGGGCAACAUUUUUAGCAUGAUAUAGACGUUGUCCCAAAUUGCUCAUCCCUACCUCAUAUGGAAAUGAAGCCCAAGGAGAGCUUUAGGGACCUUUGGCUUAGGUGGAAUGAACAAGUUGCUCGAGAUAGUUAUCCCGUCGAUAGAAAAGAUAUUGCUGAGCCUCGCCAGCGACAAGGUCCAGCGGUUGUCCUUGCAAAAUGUUUUCAGCCUCAACAACGGCCCCAUGGAAAUCCCGGUACACCAGAUGACCUUCCCUAAUAUUACCCUCAUAGUCGUGCUUCACUUUCCCAAUAUCCUGUCUACAAUGCGCCACCAUAUGCUCCACACCCACGAGACCCACAAUGGCCCGCACAACUUCCCCAAAGGUCUUACCCGCCCCUCAGGCAUGGAAACAACUUGCCCCCAGUUUAGGUUUGUAACUCCAGUUUAGGUUUGUAACUCCAGUUUAAUUUGUUGGUUGUCCAAACCCUUUCAUCGUCGGUCUAAUGCAAUUUUCUGUGUUGUUCUCUUUUCUUUGGUUGUCUUUUUCCCAUUGACUUUAGUAACAUGACAUGCAUGCAUAACCCGAUGCCUUGUCUUAAAGGUUUACUCAUAAGGCAAUAAAGAACCUUGAAGGAAAUAAGUACACUUUGAAAACUUUUAAAGGCUGAACCAUGUAAAAUAUGGGUAGCUAGAACAUGAAGAAAUCCUAAAAGCAAGUUUACCAAACUGGCAGGGGCCAUUUGUUGUAGCUGGAGUGUUGUCCAAUGGUGCAUUAUAUUUGACAAAUGUGGAAGGAAAAUGUGUAGAAAUGACUAUAAAUUAUGGUCGCAGUCAUGAGAUACUAUGUAUGAUUCAUUUGUGUGAUUGUACUUGCUUGUCUUGGCAUAUUUUGAAAAUUGAAAUGACGAAGGCAUUUUGUUUUGCUAUCUAAACACUUUAUCCUUUGCUAACCCUUUUGGGAUUUAAUUAUUUUCUUUCAUAUCCCUCUUUUGAAAUCGGUAACAAAAGUUAGAAACGCAACUGUGAGAAGGUAGUGAAUGGAAAAGAAUGGAAAGAAUGAAAACAAAAGAAAAAAAAGAAAAACAAGAAAAGAAAAGAGAAAAGAGAAAAAAAAUAAAUAAAAAGAAGAAAAAGAAAAAAAAAGAUAGAAAAGAAAAAAGGAAAUAAAAAAGAAGGAAAAGAGCACAGACAACAACAACAAAAGCGAGGAAUUGGCAGGAACUGCGUUAGACCUGAUUCCUUUUAAAGGAUACGAAGGCAGCCUCACGGUUCGAUCUCAUUAAAAUAAAGUCCAAAAGUCCCCAAGCAAGGAACUGGGGCAGAAGUUGUGGUUGUUGUAUGAAAUCCGAUUUCGAAAGUUAUAGUUUUAAACCCAUGUGAAUUGUUUUGAGCCUUUGAUACCCUUUGUUUUUAACACUAUCCAAAGAUUCCAAGUUGAGCAAGUAGAGGUGAUUCAUGUUAGGAGCAACACUCCGGUCCAAGCAAGAAAGAUAAUAAAAUGAGAGAGUCUUAUUGGUGAAUACAAUCACGGGCACCGUAAGGCGAUGGAAGCUAAGAGAAAUAAAAAAUGAGAGAGUCUUAUUAGUGAAAACCCUCAAGGGCACCUUAAGACGACUGUAAGUUGAGAGAAAGAACGAAAUGAGAGAGGCUUGAUGGUGAAAACCCCUUGGGCGCUACAAGUCGAAUAAGAUUGUGAAUCAGAUUGGAUAAUCGGAGCAUUUAAGCCCAGCUUCACGGACUGGGGGGUAUAACAAGAGUUGAAUAACAGAUUUUCUUAAUAGAACAGGCCACAGGUGCAUGUCAUGGUUAUUAGAGUUGGUACCCGCAUUUUAUAGGUUUCUACUUUUUUGGUUUUUAGGAAUCAUAUCCUUUCAUUGUCUUCUACUCUAUUCUUUUUGUCUUGCUUAUUCCCUCCUUUUGGGUCUGUUGGGUCAAAAUAAGUGAGAAAUGACUUCAAAAUCUACCACCAACUUUUAAAUUGCACAAAACGGGAUCUAGUUAUCACAUCCAAGUGUCAUAAGUUAGGAAAACAACAAGCACACUUAGCGGGUAACAUUCAACAUGCUUCAGGAUUCGUUUGAAAUACAAAGGCUUGGUAUAUAGCAAUUCAUGGAAAAUGCUACAAAAUGAGGGCUAGGGCGAACAGCUCAAGAUCGUUUCUGUGAUAAGAUUGACGAGAAGGGUGGUAAACCAGUGAUAAGUAAGAUCUUUUAAGGAGAAAUCGAAGUUAUCAUGACUAGCGAUGGAAUAGUAGACCUCAAGGCCAGAACCAAUGAUUUGGGUCAAGAAAGAACAUCAUACACAAUGUGGUUGAUAACAAUUAAUAUGCUUUGGGGAUACGGUGAAACACAAGAAUUGGGAAGAUAUCGGUUCAGGGGCAAUGCAACAAAUAAAAGGUAUUGAGAAAUAUGAUUUGUCUGGGUUGAAGAUUGCAAGGGUGGUGGUUAUUCAAGGGGCAAACAAGGUCUUCAAAUGAAAAGGAAUCAUCAUGACAAGUGAAGGAGCAACAGACCUCAAGGUCAAGGCCAGUGGUUUAUGUCAAUAAAAAAUAGCUUACACACGAAGUGGGGGGCGAUGGACGUGCUUUGGGGGCCAUGUAAAAACACAAAGGAUGGGAAGAUAUCAGUUCAUAAGCAAUGCAACGAAUAAAAGGAUAUGGGGUCUGAAUGGAGGAGAAGUAUUUUCUGCGAUAAGGGUGACAUAGCAAUUGGUUAGCCAAUAAGCAAGAAAUGUCUUUCAAGGUGGAAUCAAAGUUACCGUAGCAAGUGAAGGAGCGCAACACAAAGAUAGUAAAGGCCACAAAGGUUAGCCAAGCAUAGUAAACACUCAAAGAAGUAUGUAGGAAUUUUAGCAAGAGGGUCGAAAAUCAACAUAAAGAUGGGGGAGCAGAGUAAGCCACAAGGGUCAGAGGUUCAACAAGCAUAGUACAUUGACUUGAUAAUCUCAGGAAAGAUAUAAGAAUGCUGGCAAAGGGGCCAAGAGUGUAGCACAAAAAUGAGGGAGCAAAGUAAAGCCAUAAAGGUUCGGGGUCAGCCAACCAAUUCAGGCAACUCAUCGACAUGGAAAAUUGAACACAACGGAACACGACAGUGGAGAAGCCGAUUCCAACAAAAAUGCUGCGAGCUAACCACCACUUUUCAAACUGACAAGUUUUCUUUGAUUGACACAGGGGCAGACAAAUUCUGGAAGAUCCUAAGAAAGGCCAUCCACAGGGGAAGGUAGGCACAUGGCAGGUAUGAUCAAAAUCUCAGGGCCUAUCUGAAGAAUGCGACCAACUUAAAACUUAAUAAGGAACAUAGCCCGAUAUAUAUAUUCUCCCCAGUAAGAGUAUGCUAGGACAAAACUUUAAUUAGCAACCCCCAGCAGAAACAACCGAGAGUUAAAAGGGGCAUGCAAUUUGAAAUUUUCAAGACCUUCCUGGAAAUUGGACUCAGUUUAUAACUCAAACAGGUGUGGGUUGCAUGGGUAGUCAUAAACACCUCCCUAGUAAGAGUCGUUGCAACUCGCCUGAACAAUGAUCCCCAGCAGAAACAACAAGAAGUUAGAAUUGACAUUAAUCUGGGACCCUCAGAACCCUUCUGAAAAAUGGGACUUAGCCUAAAACAUAAAUAAGCACGGGUAACAUGGGCAUGCACAAAUAUUUCCCCAACAAGAGUCAUCAGGACCGGUUUGAAUAAUAGGAUAUAGCUCUAAAUACUAGUCCCCAGCAGACACAUCUAGCCAUCUAAUUAAGAGUUGUCAGGACUCUUCCCGGAUAAUAUGAAGUAGCUUCAAUCACCUAUCCCAGUAGAUCCCCAACAGAUAUAACUCGGAUAAUAAGACAUAGUGAAAAAUAAUAUCUUUUGAGAGCACAACCUAAUAUUAAAGUUGUCAUGGGAUUUUAUUAACACUCAUAGAUGCAUCCAACACCAAACUAGGUUAGAAAAAUAUCUCUUAUUUUGUUUGUUUUGUUCUGAUCAGGUACACAGGUAGCAGCCUCAGGGAAUAUUUUUCAAAUUUCAAGUUAUGGCAAUCAGGCGCCCACUUGUAGAACAAGAGAAUAUUUUUCAAGAUUCAAGCUUUGGUAAUCAGGCGACCACCUAUAGAAUAAGAGAAUAUUUUUAAAGAUCAAGCUUUGGUAAUCAGGCACCCACAUGCAGAAAAUGGGAAUAUUUUUCAAGUCGCAAGCUUUGGUAAUCAGGCACACACCUGUAGAACAAGGGAAUAUUUUUCAAAUUUCAAGUUUUGGUAAUCAAGCACCCACCUGUAGAACAAGGGAAUAUUUUUCAAGAUUCACGUUUUGGUAAUCAGGUGCCCACCUGUAGAACAAGGGAAUGUUUUUCAAGAUGCAAGUUUUGGUAAUCAGGCGCCCACAUGUAGAACAUGGAAUAUUUUUCAAAUUUCAAGUUUUGGUAAUCAGGCGUCCACCUGUAGAACAAGGGAAUAUUUUUCAAGAUUCAAGUUUUAGUAAUCAGGUGCCCACCUGUAGAACAAGGGAAGAAUAUAUUUUUAAGUUGUAAGUUUUGGUAAUCAGGCGUCCACCUGCAGAAAAAGGGAAUAUUUUUUAAAUUUCAAAUUUUGGUAAUUAGGCGCCCCCUGUAGAACAAGGGAAUAUUUUUCAAGAUUCAAGUUUUGGUAAUCAGGCGCCCACCUGUAGAACAAGGGAAUAUUUUUCAAGAUUCAAGUUUUGGUAAUUAGGUGCUCACCUGUAGAACAAGGGAAUAUUUUUCAAGAUUCAAGCUUUGAUAAUCAGGUGCCCACCUGUAGAACAAGGGAAGAAUAUAUUUUCAAGUUGUAAGUUUUGGUAAUCAGGCGUCCACCUGCAAAAAUAGGAUAUUUUUUAAAUUUCAAGUUUUGGUAAUCAGGCGCCCCCUUUGUAAAACAAGGGAAUAUAAUCAGGUGCCCACCUGUAGAACAAGGGAAUAGUUUUCAAGAUUCAAGCUUUGAUAAUCAGGUGCCGACCUGUAGAACAAGGGAAGAAUAUAUUUUCAAGUUGUAAGUUUUGGUAAUCAGGCGUCCACCUGCAAAAAUAGGAUAUUUUUUAAAUUUCAAGUUUUGGUAAUCAGGCGCCCCCUUUGUAAAACAAGGGAAUAUAAUCAGGUGCCCACCUGUAGAACAAGGGAAUAGUUUUCAAGAUUCAAGCUUGAAAAAAGGAUAUUUUUUAAAUUUCAAGUUUUGGUAAUCAGGCGCCCCCUCUGUAAAACAAGGGAAUAUUUUUCAAGACUCAAGUUUUGGUAUUCAGGCGCCCACAUGUAGAACAAGGAAAUAUUUUUUAAGAUGCAAGUUUUGUAAUCAGGCUCCCACCUGUAGAACAAAGGAAUAUUUUUAAAAUUUUAAGUUUUGGUAAUCAGGCGCCCACGUGUAGAAAAAGAGAAUACUUUUCGCGUUCUAAGUUUUGGUAAUCAAGCGCCCGCCUGUAUAACAAGGGAAUAUUUUUCAAGAUACAAGCUUUGGUAAUCAGCAGCCUACCUAUAGAACAAGAGAAUAUUUUUCAAGAUGCAAACUUUGGUAAACGGGCACCCCACAUAUAGAACAAGGGAAUAUUUUUCAAUUUGUAAGUUUUGGUAAUCAUGCGCCCACCUGUAGAACAAGGGAAUAUUUUUCAAGAUGCAAGUUUUGGUAGUCAGGCGCCCACCUGUAGAACAAUGGAAUAUUUUUCAAGAUUUAAGUUUUGGUAGUCAGGCGCCCACCUGUAGAACAAGGGAAUAUUUUUCAAGAUUCAAGUUUGUAAUCAGGUGCCCACCUGGAGAACAAGGGAAUAUUUUUUCAAAUUUCAAGUUGUAGUAAUCAGGCGCCCACCUACAGAACAAGGGAAUAUUUUUCAAGUCGCAAGUUCUGGUAAUCAGGCACCCACUUGUAGAAUAAGGGAAUAUUUUUCGAGAUGCAAGCUUUGGUAAUCAAGCGCCCACCUGUAGAACAAGGGAAUAUUAUUCAAGUCUUAAAUUUUUGUAAUCAGGCGCCCACUUGUAGAAAAAGGGAAUAUUUUUCGGGCUGCAAAUCUUGGUAAUCAGGCGCCCACUUGCAGAGCAAGGAAAUACUUUCCAAGUUGCACGUUUGGUAAGCAGGCUCCCACCUGUAGAACAAGGGAAUAAUUUUCAAGUUGCAAGUUUUGGUAACCCCGCGCCCACCUAUAGAACAAGGGAAUACAUUUCAAGUCCAGCAGUUUAGCAUCAAACAUAGAAUAAGAGAAAAUAAGAAGUCAACAAGGCAAACAAGGAGUUUACAGGAAGAAACACAAGGCAACAAGGCAACAAAGAUGAAGAGCAAUAUUGAAGAUGUAGAUAGGUUCUUCUAUAAUCCAUAGUUCAUAUCUUUGUUUACCUUCUUCAUUUUUCACAAGGUGUAAUAAGGGGGUCUAGUAGUAGUAGUAGCAGCAGCAAAUCAGAACUUCGGUAGUCCCAGCUACCAAACACUCCCAAACUACACUGACCUAAUUCCUUUUUAGCCAAGAAUAUGUAGCCAACCCCAGAAGCAGGGUGCAGUCAAACUUUUAAAAAAUGCUUCACACGGAGCAUUCAAACGGACACUAAUCGCUCGUAUUAGUUCACUUAUCUUUGCACGAAAACUCUUCAUGUUUCCGAGAAAAGAGGGACAGCUGUGAACACGUGAUUUUUGCCCUAUAUAAAUCACUCUCAUAAUUUCAAACAAAAUAAUUCUUUUAUUAUUUUUAAUUAUUUUUAAUUUUGUUGAUUUUUGUGGCAUUUUCUGUUAUUUUCUUGCAUUUGUGUGUGCAUUUUUAAUUCAUAUAAAAAUACAAAAAUAUAGGCAUCGCAUUUAGGGUUUAAUUUUGCAUAUUUUAGGAAUUAAGCAGUGAUUAAUAGUUUACCAAAGCACAAAAGUAAAAAAAUAGUUUGCUUUUGUUUCAUUUUAAUUUUGGAAUUGUAGUAGUUUUUCUAUUAAAUUUAAUUAUUUGUGAUAAUUUUCAUUUAGAACUAAUUAAUUUAAUUUGGUAUAAUGAUUUAUUAGGAUUUUAUUUUUGAUUUAACUUGAAAAAAAGGGGGUAAAAGGAAGAAAACAACAAAAAUAGUUCAAUUCACACUUUUAAUUUUGAUUUUAAUUUUGCGUAGUGUUUCCAUUGAGUUUUUUGUAUUAAUUAUCAUAUAAGUAUAAUUAAUUUUAGGGUUAAUUUAGUGUUAGGAAUUAAUUUUAGGUUUUAUUUUAAUCUUAAUAGAUAAAAAAAUUUGAAUUAAAAAAGAAAAAAAGAGGAAAUCAAAGAAAUUGGAUGUCAUUCAUAAAAACCCAAGAAUGGGGCCAUCCCAAGAAAAUUCCCCACCUGAAAUACGCCCAACCCGACCCAAUACGCCCAAAAAUCCAGUCCAAGUCCCCAACCUUUGAGACUUUGAAACGACAUAGUAGAAGGAUGAUACUUCGUCGUUUUGAGUUCAUUAGUUUCAAAUCAAUCCCAUCCCUUUAUUUUCCCUAAUCCAAUGGCCAGGGUUCAGUCUCUAAGUUUUGUUAAAAAUAUCCGAAUUAGAAGGUCUCAACUGAACCUUCCUCGUAUCUCAUCUGUCUAUCUUCGGUCACCUCAAACCGCCGCUGGAAAUCGUCCUACGGCGGCGGCAAGUCUUCAAUUUUAACAAACAUUACACCAUAGACUCACAAUAACACGCUCUCCUCAAAUUUCGAACCAGCUUUCAUCAAAUCCAGUUGAAACACCUCAAAUCAUAGAUCUAAACGUCCACCCCCUAAGUCCUCCAGACUUGAACUCAUCAUGCAAAGGGCUUGGGUUCUUGCCAUCCUAUGUUUUGAAGACAAUUUGGGCCCGAGACAAGUGUCAGGCGACUUUUCCCACAAGAACAGUCGUAUAACUCCCCUUUUGGUUAAAAUCAGAGGAGCUGGGGUUCGAGUAGCCUGAGUCGUUCUUCACUUAGGUAUUUCUCUUCGUAUUCUUUUCUUCUCCCUAUUUUCACUUCCGUUUCCAGUCUUUCCUCGUUUCUUUUGUUGUUUUUCACCACUUCCUCCUCCGUUAUCGUCUUUUGUUUAUCUAUUUCUCUCUUACUAUUUUGAAAAUUUCUUUAAGAUUGAGUCGUGUUAGUAUGACGAUUAGCAUCGAUUUAGGUUUAUCAUUGUUAAUUUUUGUAUCCAGAUUUCUUUGAACUUCGUGUGCUAGAUUUGAGUUUCUUGAUUAAUCUGAGAUUCGCUAUACUGUAAUGGGUAUUAAAUUAAUUCAAUAUUGUUUAGUUGGGUUGAUUCAUCAGGCUCUGUUUUCAUUAUUGGGUAAAGGUUUUGGGUUAUAAUUGUGGGAGGUUCUUAAUGGGGUAAGAUGUUGGGCCUUUGAGUUUCUUAGCCCGUACCAGAAACAACUUUAGAGCUCUAUUUGUUUGGUUUGGGCUGGCCCAUAUAAGUUUUGGUUUUCUGGAGGUAAUAACAGGGUUGUGGGGGUAAACCUCACCCAUACCCAUUUAGUUACUGAAGAUUAAAAUGAAUAAGAAAACAGGGGAACUUGGGGCGGUAAUUUAGGAAGUUUAGGAUAAUAGAAUCUUAGUGUAACUGAUCUGGAAACUGCAAGUGAGGGGUCUUAGGGAAAUUUCAGACUUAUAGUUAUUAGCUUGGGCAUCAUGUCAAAAUUUGAGUGACUGAAUGCAAACUUAAAAAUCUGAGAUGCCCUACUUUAUGAUAUAUAAAUAGACCAUUCCUUGCCUUUGAGGGCA
rnacentral:lncRNA from 1 species